CUUGUAGUUGGAUCUUAGGAUCAAGCUGAUGCUUCGCCCUGAGGUGACCUACCAUCUCGCAUCUCCUACCUCUUGGUGCUCCCUCAGAGCUUUUAGCAAAGCGUUUAAUUUGAAAAAGUAAAUCUUCAAAGUAGGCCUGGUUGUCCGAAUAUAACAGCUAGGAGUAAUCCAUUAAAUUGCAGGUUUUCUCUCUGAACUGGGGGCAUGAUUAUGAGGGACAACUGGGGCAUUUGUAUUGUGCAACUAUACAAACGUUCAUGGAUGGACUGAAGCAGAAGCAUUUUCCAAGAAUGUUUUCAUUAAGUAAGAA
rnacentral:ncRNA from 1 species